rnacentral:rRNA from 1 species
UACGGAGGGUGCAAGCGUUAAUCGGAAUUACUGGGCGUAAAGCGCACGCAGGCGGUUUGUUAAGUCAGAUGUGAAAUCCCCGAGCUUAACUUGGGAACUGCAUUUGAAACUGGCAAGCUAGAGUCUUGUAGAGGGGGGUAGAAUUCCAGGUGUAGCGGUGAAAUGCGUAGAGAUUUGGAGGAAUACCGGUGGCGAAGGCGGCCCCCUGGACAAAGACUGACGCUCAGGUGCGAAAGCGUGGGGAGCAAACAGG